rnacentral:rRNA from 1 species
GAAUUUUGGACAAUGGGCGCAAGCCUGAUCCAGCCAUGCCGCGUGAGUGAAGAAGGCCUUCGGGUUGUAAAGCUCUUUCGGCCGGAACGAAAUCGUCCGGGCUAAUACCCCGGAUGGAUGACGGUACCGGAAGAAGAAGCACCGGCCAACUACGGUCCAGCAGCCGCGGUAAUACGUAGGGUGGAGGCGUUAAUCGGAAUUACUGGGCGUAAAGCGUGCGCAGGCGGCUUCUCAAGUCAGAUGUGAAAUCCCCGGGCUUAACCUGGGAACUGCGUUUGAAACUGGGAGGCUAGAGUGCGGCAGAGGGGGGUGGAAUUCCACGUGUAGCAGUGAAAUGCGUAGAUAUGUGGAGGAACACCGAUGGCGAAGGCAGCCCCCUGGGCCUGCACUGACGCUCAUGCACGAAAGCGUGGGGAGCAAACAGG